GUGCGGGUUAGUGACGCCUUGGGUUGUGGGGAAUAUCGCCUUUAUGGCCCUUGAAGCCGUGUGUUGUAUGUACUCCAAUGUCCUCAGGAACCACAUCAAUAAGAAAUUUGAUGGAUUAUGUAAAGCGGAAAUGGCGUUUUAUAUUACAAGAUUUAUUCUCAAUUUCCUGUCGCUGUGGGCAGUGAUGAGGUUCUUCAGGAAUAUUCGAGCUGGCAUUACCUACAAGGAUCCUGAAGCCAUAGAACUCUGAAAGAAUAUCGACCAUCUGUUAGCAGUCGGUCCCUUCAAACCACCUCCUCUUCUCUUUUCACAUUUCUGUUCUUCUACCUGCAUCUCCUCUCUCU